rnacentral:rRNA from 1 species
AUUGAACGCUGGCGGCAGGCUUAACACAUGCAAGUCGAGCGGAGAUGAGGUGCUUGCACCUUAUCUUAGCGGCGGACGGGUGAGUAAUGCUUAGGAAUCUGCCUAUUAGUGGGGGACAACAUUCCGAAAGGAAUGCUAAUACCGCAUACGUCCUACGGGAGAAAGCAGGGGAUCUUCGGACCUUGCGCUAAUAGAUGAGCCUAAGUCUGAUUAGCUAGUUGGUGGGGUAAAGGCCUACCAAGGCGACGAUCUGUAGCGGGUCUGAGAGGAUGAUCCGGCACACUGGGACUGAUACACGGCCCAGACUCCUACGGGAGGCAGCAGUGGGGAAUAUUGGACAAUGGGGGGAACCCUGAUCCAGCCAUGCCGCGUGUGUGAAGAAGGCCUUAUGGUUGUAAAGCACUUUAAGCGAGGAGGAGGCUACUGAGACUAAUACUCUUGGAUAGUGGACGUUACUCGCAGAAUAAGCACCGGCUAACUCUGUGCCAGCCGCCGCGGUAACAC